CAGCUGAAACCUUUCUCCUAACAAGAUAAGAACCUUCUGCUGGUGCCUUCUGAAAACCCAGAUAGGACUGAGAACUGACCUGUUUAACUCAUCAACUCCUUAUUAGAUACCUGCAGUGAGCCAAGGACCAGGCUAGUUCCUGUGAUGCUGAAGAUGUUGAAGGGAAGCCCAUAACAUUACAACGUUGACCAAUCCUCCAGAAAAGAAGCUCUAACAGAGGACCCUGGCUGUCUACGGGGUUGGUUUCCAUCUCUCCAUUCGUGAGCUCCUUGAAGGCAGAGAACACUUGGCUUUUCUUCCUAUACCUCCAGUCCCUAAUGCAGGGACAUGAGAGAUGCCCAUUUGUGUUUGAUGAAUGAAUGAGUGAAUAAAUGAAUGAAUGAGUGCCUGGAGAUCAGAGUACAUGGGAUGAGUGUUCGGAGUUCUACAGACUCAGGAAGCCCCAGCUGACAUUCCAAG
rnacentral:lncRNA from 10 species